rnacentral:rRNA from 1 species
GAAGGUGUGUCGUGAGGCAUGCUGGAGGUAUCAGAAGUGCGAAUGCUGACAUAAGUAACGAUAAAGCGGGUGAAAAGCCCGCUCGCCGGAAGACCAAGGGUUCCUGUCCAACGUUAAUCGGGGCAGGGUGAGUCGACCCCUAAGGCGAGGCCGAAAGGCGUAGUCGAUGGGAAACGGGUUAAUAUUCCCGUACUUGGUGUUACUGCGAAGGGGGGACGGAGAAGGCUAUGUUGGCCGGGCGACGGUUGUCCCGGUUUAAGCGUGUAGGUGUGUGUUCCAGGUAAAUCCGGUUCACUUUAACACUGAGGCGUGACGACGAGGCACUACGGUGCUGAAGCAACAAAUGCCCUGCUUCCAGGAAAAGCCUCUAAGCAUCAGGUAACAUCAAAUCGUACCCCAAACCGACACAGGUGGUCAGGUAGAGAAUACCAAGGCGCUUGAGAGAACUCGGGUGAAGGAACUAGGCAAAAUGGUGCCGUAACUUCGGGAGAAGGCACGCUGACACGUAGGUGAAGUGAUUUACUCAUGGAGCUGAAGUCAGUCGAAGAUACCAGCUGGCUGCAACUGUUUAUUAAAAACACAGCACUGUGCAAACACGAAAGUGGACGUAUACGGUGUGACGCCUGCCCGGUGCCGGAAGGUUAAUUGAUGGGGUCAGCGCAAGCGAAGCUCCUGAUCGAAGCCCCGGUAAACGGCGGCCGUAACUAUAACGGUCCUAAGGUAGCGAAAUUCCUUGUCGGGUAAGUUCCGACCUGCACGAAUGGCGUAAUGAUGGCCAGGCUGUCUCCACCCGAGACUCAGUGAAAUUGAACUCGCUGUGAAGAUGCAGUGUACCCGCGGCAAGACGGAAAGACCCCGUGAACCUUUACUAUAGCUUGACACUGAACAUUGAGCCUUGAUGUGUAGGAUAGGUGGGAGGCUUUGAAGUGUGGACGCCAGUCUGCAUGGAGCCGACCUUGAAAUACCACCCUUUAAUGUUUGAUGUUCUAACGUGGACCCGUUACCCGGGUUGCGGACAGUGUCUGGUGGGUAGUUUGACUGGGGCGGUCUCCUCCUAAAGAGUAACGGAGGAGCACGAAGGUUGGCUAAUCCUGGUCGGACAUCAGGAGGUUAGUGCAAUGGCAUAAGCCAGCUUGACUGCGAGCGUGACGGCGCGAGCAGGUGCGAAAGCAGGUCAUAGUGAUCCGGUGGUUCUGAAUGGAAGGGCCAUCGCUCAACGGAUAAAAGGUACUCCGGGGAUAACAGGCUGAUACCGCCCAAGAGUUCAUAUCGACGGCGGUGUUUGGCACCUCGAUGUCGGCUCAUCACAUCCUGGGGCUGAAGUAGGUCCCAAGGGUAUGGCUGUUCGCCAUUUAAAGUGGUACGCGAGCUGGGUUUAGAACGUCGUGAGACAGUUCGGUCCCUAUCUGCCGUGGGCGCUGGAGAACUGAGGGGGGCUGCUCCUAGUACGAGAGGACCGGAGUGGACGCAUCACUGGUGUUCGGGUUGUCAUGCCAAUGGCACUGCCCGGUAGCUAAAUGCGGAAGAGAUAAGUGCUGAAAGCAUCUAAGCACGAAACUUGCCCCGAGAUGAGUUCUCCCUGAGACUUAAAGU